rnacentral:rRNA from 1 species
AUGGGUAAGGUGCACGGAUCGCUGGCGCGGGCCGGGAAGGUGCGGGGGCAGACGCCCAAGGUGGCGAAGCAGGACAAGAAGAAGCAGCCGCGCGGCCGCGCCGUCGUCGGCUUCGGCAAGAAGCGCGGCCCCAACUCCUCCGAGAAGUAG